GAAUUUGGCAAUAUGGAAGACGUUGAUUCUCUUUACAAGAACACUUUAAGUGGAGUCAUGGAGACCAAUCCUUAUUAGCCAGAGAGAGGGAAGUUGACACCCAAGUGUAGCCACCUCAGGCUUAUGAAAUAUAAGGGGCAAAUAGCAAAAAUGGCCAGACAAGACUUGGAGCUCUUUCAUUAUUCAGGAAAUGAGAAUGAUUCUGUUAUGGUCAGGGUUUCUGAAAACCACUUAACAAUAAUUUGACAACACUCACAUGCAGAACUUCCUUGAAAAUCACUUCUCUACUGACCUUGGCCCAAAUAGACACAGCACUGUCAGCUGUCCCCAAAUGUGUUCGGGGUCACAAAAAAGUCUAUUAACUUCACAAGUAAUUGAUACUUUAAUUUUAUUGCUGUAAUUUUACAAAAUAUUGUCUGCAGUCAUUUUGCAGUCCUUUUGCUCAGCUUUUUUCUUAGAAAAUCAAAACAGGCCUGGCACAGUGGCUCACGCCUGUAAUCCCAGCACUUUGGGAGGGUGAGGCAGGCAGAUCACCUGAGGUCAGGAGUUCGAGACCAGCCUGGCCAACAUGGCAAAAACCCGUCUCUCUGAAAAUACAAAAAUUAGCCGGGCAUGGUGGCAGGCACCUGUAAUCCCAGCUACUUGCAAGUCUGAGACACAGGAAUCACUUGAACCUGGGAGGCGGAGGUUGCAGUGAGCCGAGAUCACACCACUGCAUGCUAGCCUGAGCAAAAAAAAAAAAAAAAAAGAAAAGGAAAAGAAAAAGAAAAUCAAAACAGCUAGCAGCUAGAGGAUAUCCUAAAGAAGCAAGGGCAAGGAAAAUGGUCCAAGCAAAUGGACAAAGCCUCUGAAUGGCUUACUGCAAGAAAUUUCAGAGGAUAAAUAGAAGUUAAGUAAGCUAUUGUCCCAAACAAUGAAAGAUGCCUAUUGUAAGACUGUGGGGAGAAGAGUUACUCUGACAUGCUUCAGGGAAAGUAAUGACUUUUUUAAAGGCUAAACUUGUAUACAGAAUUAUUUCAACAACCUAAGUAUAAUGAUGAUUGAUAUGGUGCUGUAUCCCCACCCAAAUCUCACCUUGAAUUGUAGUUCCCAUAAUCCCCAUGUGUUGUGGGGAGGGACCAGGUGGAGAUAAUUGAAUCAUGGGGGUGGUUUUCUUAUCCUGUUCUUGUUCAUUCUUCUUUAUUGUUUUCUUUUUAUUUUUGUCUGACAGUUAUUUUGGAGAACUGGUCUUUGAACUCUGAGAUUCUUUUCUCAGCCAGGUUGAUGCUUUUUUUUUUGUGGCUAGUCCAUGGGCUGUAGUUUGCUGAAUGAUCGCUGUUUUAGAGAAUCACCUUUGAGAUGAUCAGAUUCAUUCCUUUAUUCAUUCAGUGAUUUUCUGAGGACCUAUUAUGGGCCAGAUGCUGGUCUAUGUAUGUAGAAGGCACAGAUUAAAUGCAUAGUCCAUAACUUAAUGGGUAUAUAAAGAGAUAAAUCAGUAAUUCAUUAGGAAGAGAUGAAUACUUGAUGGAGACAUGUGCAGAAUGCACAGGAGGAGAGGAACCCACUAGGCUUGGGCAGAGAUGUGCUCUGGAAAGUUUUCUAAGCCAAGUUGUGUUGGAUUUUGAAGGAAAAAUACAAGUUUGCCAGGCUGAGCAUGGGCAAAGGUAGAAUAUAGAUCUGUCAAGGAGGGAGGCUGUCAAUUUGGGUUAUUAGGAUCCCUUAAAGGGGCCAGUUACUCAGUAGGGGAACACUGGGGUAUGUUUUAUAGGAUUGGGGGUGGUGGAAGAUAGUUGUUUGACACAUGCAGAGUUUGAGGUUCC
rnacentral:lncRNA from 10 species